ensembl:misc_RNA predicted gene, 27585
GGCAUUGCUUUUAAGUAUGAUGGAUUCUAUGCAAACUUUGAAAUGCCUUUUUACUUCAUAUUUCAAAAUGCGUGUGCCUAUGCAUUCAGAAUGGAGAGAGAUGAGAAAGCUUCUCGGUUGCAUUAAAACUAAACACAAUAUAGGCAGCUGCUGGGAGCUACACUAUUAUAGUUUUAUCCUGAUAUAUAAAAUGGAAAAU